rnacentral:lncRNA from 1 species
GGGCGGCAGCCCCGCAAAAGCUGCUGCACCACAAAAGCCCUCAAGGCGGCGGCAGGCCUCUCCACACCGCCCCAGCCUUCGACGCCAAGGAGAGGAAAACUGUCAAUAUAUCGAAAGCACUGAAGUCCCAACAAAGGAGAGCUUGCAGCCUGAGCUGAGCCUACUUCCCACUGGGCCCAGUUCUUCCACAGGGCUGGCUGCUUAUCCCAUGAAACACAUCCUCAGACAGUAAGCCUUCAACUCUGAAGGAAAACGUGACUUUGUGAACAUCACAUGGGUUUUGUGAUAAACUGAGCCAUGUGUUGGUAGGGUAACUUCC